CCUUCGAUAGCUCAGUUGGAAGAGCGUGAGACUGUAAUCGGGUACUCCCUUCACAUCCUCGGAUGUGAAGACAUCUCAAGGUCCCUGGUUCGAACCCGGGUCGAAGGA